ensembl:lncRNA
GAAACUGCCUGUAUUAAGAAAGGUUUUUAGAUGGAGAGAAUCUAGACAUAAUAGUUUGCCUUCUCAUCUAUUUUAAUAGGUUGUAUUGUCAGUUUUUAAAACAGUAUUAAUAAUGUGAACCUAUGUUUACACAUAUUUGUUUACUAUCUAUUAUGAAAAAUUGCCAACUGCCAAAUUCAGCUAUGAUUUAAAGCCUGAGCAACCAUAAUGAGGUUGGUAAGAAUGAAGUCAACCCUGACAAUUUCCACGUAUCUAUGCAGAUAGCACUUCAAACAGAAUGUGGACCUACAAGCCAUUUAGUUAUUGACAGUGUCUUCUGCAGCUCCAGCCUUUAUUCCAAAGAAAGUUGCAAUGCUUUUUUUUUUUUUUUUUUUUUUAAUUCACAUGAGGUUGUAAGAUCCAUUUUGCUUACAGAAAAAAUAUAAAGAGGAGCAUUAGCAUGAAAAUCAUUCACCACUACUGACUGCACUGAUAUUUGUGAAGACUAGUAAUUUCUUUCACUGAGUUUAGUUUUUCUAGUUUGCCCGUGACCCGGAUCUGUUGUUUCAGAGGUUAGUGUGUCACAUGCUAGCAGUGACAUGAUGAGUUGCAGAUGUAUUUGACCUAUUUCCACUGGCAUUAAACGUGAACUUAGAGAUAAUAUCCUUAAUUUCUCAGUAGCUUGCUGACAGGCAAGACAGCCAGCACUACUAAGUGCAUUAAUGUAAUCCAUGAGAGUUGCUCUUUAACCUAUCUCUAGCAUUAUUAGUCUUAUCUGCUUCUUUAUUCCCAUAUAAUAACAUAGAGUAAUGGUCUUUCAAGCAUGUCCUUGUCAGGCAGAUCAACAGUCAAUGCUAUAACAAAUACAUCAUCCUAUUAGAUUGAAAGUAUAGAACACCUAUGAGUGGCUCAGGCCACCAAUGUGAAGAUAGUGUUAAACUUUCUAAAAAUGUGAGGCAAUAAUUUUCUUACACUGAGAGAUGCUACAGCUACAGCAAACAAAGGGUGACCGUUUUGUGCUAGAUUAUGUUAAAGAACAAAUAGUUACUGACUGGAAAAUUUGUGGUUACAUGUAGACCAAUAACCAAGACUAACUGCAGUCACUGUGGAAAAAUAAACUUUCUGUUAAAUAGUAAUUAAACAAAUGUACUGCAGAUCAACAUGCACAGAAUGUGUAUUAGAUUUAGGCUUUAAAAUUAAUAAUAAUAAUUAAAAAAAGAAUAAAAUAAUUAAAAAAAAAAAAAAAAGAAUGGAAACUGUUGUUUUAAGAACAGUAUGGAUUGUAUAGUUCAGUAGUUCCAAUCUACCGAAAGGGACAGCUUUGGCUUAGAGCCAGCCUUGUCACAAUAAUGAAGACAGAAUAGGAUUUAUAAUUUAAAAACAUGUUAUGAAAAAUAUGGCAGGAGCUAUCUCUAGCAAUUAAUAUAUAGUCAUGAAAUGUAGAGAAAUUGCUAAAGAAUGCUAGCAUCACAUAGAAUGAAAUGAGAGGAUGAAGAGUACUAGAAAAUAAAUCCUGCUUAGGCUCACUACUAAAUGGAGAUGAUAAAGUUAAUAAGGAAGAAAACAACAAUUUAAUAAAUAUUUAUGUUAAUUGAUUCUAAAAUGUAUGAUGCUUUUCUUCUAACAGAAGAGGAAAUGAAAAGUAUUUUAUGGUUUAAUAGCAACUAAGGGCAAUAUUAAACAUCCGCUGAAGAAAAGUUUUCUCGAGUCUACAGGCCUAUGUAAUUCGUAGCCAGAGACCUAAGGAGUUGACCAGAUAGACCUCUUGUCUGCUGAAAUUUAGUUUUAAUAAAUCUUGGAACAUCACCAGCUAUUCCACGAGACAGGAAGGCUGUUAGUGCUGUGGCGAUAUUCCAAAGAUAGUGAGGAUGGCUCAAUGCAGUAUUUACAGGAUAGGCUGGUAAAAGUCACAGAUAGAUAAAUCUUAAUAGUGAACACUGGGCGUGAGUUAUUGCUGUUAAGGAACUGAAUAUCAAACAGAAUAAGGAAUAGGCCAUUAAUAGGAAAUAGGGUUUUUUAAGUGAGUCUGAAUUUCAAAUUAUAUUUUUAGGAUAGUGUAUGUUUCUUUGAUCAAAAAUACAAAACUUACUUAGGUUUUGUAAAAAAAAUUGGCAGUAUACUGGUGCAUUCUGAUAGAGAUCUGUAUUACACAUGAAUUGGAAAGGAAUAGCAAAGAAAAUAGUCUGGAAACUGAUUCUUCAAUCAGAUGUGAGUGAUGAAUUGUUCUCAUGGAAUCUGUAGUUGAAUAUGACCGUCUGUGGUGGUCCUUUUAUUUUUCAACAUUUGAAUUAAUGAUCUGGAAGUAAAUACAAACUCACAGCUGAUGAAAUUUGCAGACCAUUUACAGAUGCAUGGUAUGGUAAAUUGUAGUGAGGCUUUGGCUGUGUCCCUAGCACUCUCAAACAAGAUAGUCAUUAUCACAGCCAAAUGCAAAGCUGAGAAUGUGAAAUUCAAGCCAAGCUUACAAAGUGCUGAACCUUUACUGGAAUGAUGUGGCUCUGAAAAUGAUUUAAAGGUCACAGUGUGCAAUUAUCUCACCAAAAACUCACAGCAAUGCUCUGGUGAAAAACAUAUCACUUUCAAUACUUACUGGUAGAGAGACAAGGUUACUUUCCUGUAGAACACCAGUGAAACUCAAAUACAAGUAACAAUUCUAUUAUAAAUAAAUAAAUAAGAAUAAAUGUGAAAAACCUUCACAAAAGGGUUUGAGACCUAGAGGAACAUGCAGGAUAGCUUUAGAAUGAGACACAAAAUGCAUUUUCUGAAAAAUAAGACUUGAGACAUGAUAUCAUUGUAAGUACCUUUAUGAAGAGAGAAUAGUAAGGAUCUUGAAUUAAAUAAAGAAAACGUU